GUCUGCUCAUGUUACAUAUCCUGAAGAAAAACUUUUUUAUACGGUGCUUGAAUUCAUUUUCCUUCUUUUCAACCAAUAAUAGAAGCAGGAUCAGGAUCAGUAACGUGUUAACUGGAAAUAAUGCCUAAAAUGCCAAAUGGCAGGAGUGAAUGAUCAUGACCUGAACUCAUCAUAUCAGAUGUACCUUCAAGUUCAAAGAUUGUUCUUCCAACAACCAGUAAGGACAUUAGAAGAGCAUCCAGCCACCCUUCUAGAUAGUGGGAUCGACUGCACCCUCAGCAAAUUAGCAGAUGACACCAAGCUGAGUGGUACAACAGAAGGAAGGGAUGCCAUGCACAGGGACCUGGACAAGCAUGAGAAGUGGGUCCACAUAAACCUAAUGAGGUUCAAAAAAUCCAAGUGUAAGGUGCUGCACCUGGGUCAGGGCAAUCCCAGGCAGAAGUACAGACUGGGAGAAGAACUCACUGAGAGCAGCCCUGCAGAGAAAGACUUGGGGGUUCUGGUGGAUGACAUGAGCAAGCAGUACGUGCUUGCAGCCCAGAAGGCCAACUGUGUCCUGGGCUGCAUCACCAGAGGGGUGGCCAGCAGGGGAGGGAGGUGAUUGUGCCUCUCAGCUGUGCUCUUGUGAGGCUGCGUCCAACUGGAGUGCUGCAUCCAGGGCUGGGGCCCCCAGCACAAGAUGUAUGUGAAUCUGUUAGAGCAGUUCCAGAGGAGGGCUACAAAGAUGAUCAGGGGGCUGGAGCACCUCCCCUAUGGAGAAAGGCUGAGAGAGCGGGGGAUGUUCAGGUUGGAGAAGAGAAUGCUCUGGGGGGACCUCAUCACAGCCUUUCAAUACCUAAGGGGGGCUUAUAAAAAAGAUGGAGAGCAAUUUUUUACUGAUAAUGGUAUGACCAGGGGAAUAGUUUUAAACUAAAAAGGGGGAGAUUUAGAUUAGCUGUUAGGAGGAAAUUCUUCACUCAGAGGGUGAUGAGGGACAGGAACAGGUUGUCCAGAGAAGAUGUGGAUGCCCCAUCCCUGGAAGCAUUCAAGACCAGGCUGGGUGGGGCCCUGGCCAACCUGAUCUAGUGCGUGGCAUCAUUGCCCAUGGCAGGGGGGUUGGAAUGAGGUGAUUUUAAGGUCCCUUCCAACCCGAGACAUUCUAUGAGUCAUUCAUUGUCAGUGAAAGACAGACUUCGUCCUUUGACCACAUCUAGAGUGAUAAUCAAACUAUCCAAAAAGAUUAUGAAGUUGAAUUAAAUGCACAUUAAAUUGCUGUAUUGCUAAUUUAUAGCCAAAAUGUUCAAUUUUACUUCCACUCAUCUCAAACACAUUUAAGUGCAGUGGCCAGGUUUACUCAGAACAUCUUAUAAAUCUUCUGAAGCUAAAGUUCGUGCAUACAUUGAUCCACAUAUGCCCAGAACUCUGUGUCCAAGGUUACCUGAGUUUUAUUAUUUUUUUAAGUGAUAUUCAUAACAUAUGCACAACUUUUAGAACCGUAACUCUCAAAGUAUGUAAAAUGUGAGGCAGCAGCAUUCUGUUCCACGACCAAUAAUAAGAAAAUGUGAAUUGUGCUAGUAAUUUGGCAAUUGUAGUUACAUGUUUUCUAAUUAGAUUUCAAAUUCACAUAAAAGUACAAUGAAAGGUUCAGUGUCUGGAGCAAGCAGCAGAAAUUGCCUUAGUUUAAAAUGCCAGUGGAGGUUCAGAAGGGUAACAGAAAUGAUUAGUAAGCAUUAAACAGUCUGAGUAUGAAGUGUUUUCAAGGAUUUUGAAAGGAAAAGAAAAAGGUAUAAAAUACCAAAGAAUUAAUUUAUCCCAAGAGCAGUAUAAGGUAGAAAUGGCAGAAAAUUAUGUUGCUUUUAUACCUGUAUAAGAAGGAUACAGUUGCAUUUAAAAUGUUUAAUUUCCCAUAAUUUUAGUGUACAUAGAGAAAAAUAGAUAAGGAAAUAUAUGGUACACAUCAAAACCAAAGGCUAAAUUGAUGAAUAAUAUGCAACUGCUCACCACUACUUUGUAUAAAUCUAUUGUAGCAAUUAAUUUUUAUCUUUCAACAAUAAAAAAAAAAACAACAGAACA
rnacentral:lncRNA from 1 species